rnacentral:rRNA from 1 species
ACGUAGGGGGCGAGCGUUGUUCGGAAUUACUGGGCGUAAAGGGCAUGUAGGCGGCUCUGUAAGCCUGGCGUGAAAGUCACCGGCUCAACCGGUGGAUUGCGCUGGAUACUGCGGGGCUUGAAUCAUGGAGAGGGAGCUAGAAUUCCAGGUGUAGGGGUGAAAUCUGUAGAUAUCUGGAAGAAUACCGGUGGCGAAGGCGACCUACUGGCUAAUAAUUGACGCUGAGGCGCGAAAGUGUGGGGAUCAAACAG